rnacentral:rRNA from 1 species
GACAGAGGGUGCAAACGUUGUUCGGAAUUACUGGGCGUAAAGCGCGUGUAGGCUGCUCCGAAAGUCGGAUGUGAAAGCCCUGGGCUCAACCUAGGAAGUGCACUCGAAACUUCGGAGCUGGAGUCCUGGAGAGGAAGGCGGAAUUCUCGGUGUAGAGGUGAAAUUCGUAGAUAUCGAGAGGAACACCGGUGGCGAAGGCGGCCUUCUGGACAGUGACUGACGCUGAGACGCGAAAGCGUGGGGAGCGAACAGG